GACGAACGCUGGCGGCGUGCUUAACACAUGCAAGUCGAACGGAAAGGCCUGCUUUCCCUUGUGGAUUGCGGGUACUCGAGUGGCGAACGGGUGAGUAACACGUGAGUGAUCUGCCCCCAACUUGGGUAUAAGCCUGGGAAACUGGGUCUAAUUCCCGAUAGGACUGCAGGGUGGUGCCUGUGGUGGAAAACGAUUUUCUAGUGGUUGGGGAUGAGCUCGCGGCCUAUCAGCUUGUUGGUGGGGUAAUGGCCUACCAAGGCGGCGACGGGUAGCCGGCCUGGGAGGGUGGACGGCCACAUUGGGACUGAGAUACGGCCCAGACUCCUACGGGAGGCAGCAGCGGGGAAUAGUGCACAAUGGGCGGAAGCCUGAUGCAGCGACGCCGCGUGGGGGAUGACGGCCUUCGGGUUGUAAACUCCUUUCGACCGCGAGGAAGCCACCUGGUUGGAAGGGUGGUGACGGUAGUGGUAGAAGAAGCACCGGCUAACUACGUG
rnacentral:rRNA from 1 species